UACAGAGGGGGCAAGCGUUGUUCGGAAUUACUGGGCGUAAAGGGCGCGUAGGCGGCCUGUUAAGUCGAACGUGAAAUCCCCGGGCUCAACCCGGGAACUGCGUCCGAUACUGGAUGGCUUGAAUCCGGGAGAGGGAUGCGGAAUUCCAGGUGUAGCGGUGAAAUGCGUAGGUAUCUGGAGGAACACCGGUGGCGAAGGCGGCAUCCUGGACCGGCAUUGACGCUGAGGAGCGAAAGCCAGGGGAGCAAACGGG
rnacentral:rRNA from 1 species